rnacentral:rRNA from 1 species
UACGUAGGGACCAAGCGUUGUUCGGAUUUACUGGGCGUAAAGGGUGCGUAGGUGGCGGGGUAAGUCUGGUGUGAAAGCUCCGAGCUCAACUCGGAAAAGCAUUGGAAACUAUCCCGCUGGAGGGUCGGAGGGGAGACUGGAAUUCUCGGUGUAGCAGUGAAAUGCGUAGAUAUCGAGAGGAACACCAGUGGCGAAGGCGAGUCUCUGGACGACUCCUGACACUGAGGCACGAAAGCUAGGGGAGCAAACGGG